AGGAUGAACGCUGGCGGCGUGCCUAAUACAUGCAAGUCGAGCGCCCCUUUAAGAGGUGACAAUCAUUUGAUUGUCGGUUCCUAUGGGGAGCGGCGGACGGCUGAGUAACGCGUGGGAACGUGCCCCAAAGUGAGGGAUAAGCACCGGAAACGGUGUCUAAUACCGCAUAUGAUCUUCGGAUUAAAGCUUUAUGCGCUUUGGGAGCGGCCUGCAUCCUAUUAGAUAGUUGGUGAGGUAAAGGCUCACCAAGUCAACGAUGGGUAGCUGGUCUGAGAGGAUGACCAGCCAGACUGGAACUGAGACACGGUCCAGACUCCGUAGGGAGCAGCAGUAAGGAUCUCCACAAUGGGCAAAGCCUGAUGGAGCGAACGCCGCGUGCGAGGAGUGAAGGCCGUUACGGUCGUAAACUGUACUUUUAGUGUAGUAGAAGUAAUAGUAGAACGGUAAC
rnacentral:rRNA from 1 species